UACUGGGUGGAGGUCGGGUAGUGAUGGCUAUUUAACAGUCUGAUGGACUUGAAAUAGAAGCUGUUUUUCAGUCUUUCGGGCCAAGUUUUGAUGCGCUUGUACUGAUCUCACCCUCUGGAUGAUAGAGGGGUGAACAGGCCAUGGCUCGGGUGGCUGAGGUCCUUGAUGAUCUUCUUGGCCUUCCCGUGACACUGGGUGCUGCAGAUGUCCUGGAGGGCAGGCAGUGUAUUCCUGGUGAUGCGUUGGGCUGACCGUACCACCCUUUGGAGAGCCCUGCAGUUGCGGAUCAUAGCUUUCACCUGGACUGCCUUGCAAAAGAGACCUUCAGACUCCUUGUCAAAAUAAAGGUUGAUAUGUGGAGGAGAGAGG
ensembl:lncRNA